UUAUUUUUUCUGGGAAGCACUGUUUUGCAUUAGAAGUUGCAAAGUACUUUUAAAAGAAACAUAAAGAAUUAAAGCUCGCUCUAAUUAAAUGGAUCAGAAUUCUCUACCAUGGGGGAAGAAACUAACACCAUGAACAAAAGGAUAAACGGGAAAUGAGAGGCUAAGCAGAGCAAAGGCCGAUGGACCAUGGAGGAAGACCUCAUCAUGGUAACUGCACAGCAAACCUUGGUCGGUAUGUCUUGAACAACCUUGCCUGGUCUGCAGGUAUCUCAUCACUAAGAUGAAAAAGAGAAAUGACUCGUACAGACACGUAGCAAAGGCUGCAGGAAUAAUCAGCAUAUGAUCCAGCAGUUGCCUAUCACCUGAGCUGCAAAUAUAAGAGAUUAAAAAUUUUGUAGAAAUUAAAUAGAAUGGGAAGAAAAAUGAGCAAACGAACAGCAACAUAUCUUAAAUAAAGAAAGAGAAGGGAGUGAGGCUCAGAGUUGCUUUUGAUCCAUUAUUAUAGCACAGAGGGAGAAGAAGAUCCCACUUUCUUCCUCAUCUCUGCACUCCUCUCUACAGCUGGUGGUGGCAGCGGUUGCCUGCAGAACAUCAGACCUUCCUAGCUACCCAGCCACCAUUGCCAAGAAAGAGUAAUGCUACAAGGCCAAAACAUUGUAGCAAGACAGAAUGAGCUCUACACCAUAUCACACAAAGAUCUUGAUUACUCAUCACAGCCUCUUCAAAAGACGCGCGCACACAGAGAGAGAGAGAGAAUGCAGAGGAUUAAGAAUCAUCAGCUUGGGAGAGGAGCAGAAGGGGGCAGCUUCGGCGAGAAUAAAGCCACCAGCCCUUCCAUUGCCUCUUCCUGAAGCCUCAUGAUUGAGGUUGUAUCUUUCACGCAAAAGAAGGAUUCAUCUUGGGUGGUUCUAUAUACACCCCCCCUAUUGCUCAGGACACCCCCAAAAUUAAAAAAAAUUAAAUACUCUCUACACCCCCCAUUUGCUAAGGACACCCCUAAAAAAUUAAAAAUU
rnacentral:lncRNA from 1 species